CGGCAAAAGCUCAAAUUUGAAAUCUAGCACCUUCGGUGUUCGAGUUGUAAUUUGAAGAUGGUAACCUUGGGUUUGGCUCUUGUCUAUGUUCCUUGGAACAGGACGUCAUAGAGGGUGAGAAUCCCGUCUGAUGAGAUGCCCAUUCCUAUGUAAGGUGCUAUCGAAGAGUCGAGUUGUUUGGGAAUGCAGCUCUUAGUGGGUGGUAAAUUCCAUCUAAAGCUAAAUAUUGGCGAGAGACCGAUAGCGAACAAGUACAGUGAUGGAAAGAUGAAAAGAACUUUGAAAAGAGAGUGAAAAAGUACGUGAAAUUGUUGAAAGGGAAGGGCAUUAGAUCAGACUUGGUGUUUUACGAUUAUCUUCUCUUCUUGAGUUGUGCACUCGUAUUUCACUGGGCCAGCAUCGAUUCGGAUGGCAAGAUAAUGGCAGUUGAAUGUGGCUUCACUUCGGUGGAGUGUUAUAGCUUCUGCUGAUAUUGCCUGUCUGGAUCGAGGGCUGCGUCUUUUGACUAGGAUGCUGGCGUAAUGAUCUAAUGC
rnacentral:rRNA from 1 species